GUGGGGAAUAUUGGACAAUGGGCGCAAGCCUGAUCCAGUCAUACCGCGUGGGUGAAGAAGGCCUUCGGGUUGUAAAGCCCUUUUGUUGGGAAAGAAAUCCUGUCGGUUAAUACCUGGCGGGGAUGACGGUACCCAAAGAAUAAGCACCGGCUAACUUCGUUCCAGCAGCCGCGGUAAUACGACGGGUGCAAGCGUUACUCGGCAUUACUGGGCGUAAAGCGUGCGUAGGUGGUGGUUUAAGUCCGUUGUGAAAGCCCUGGGCUCAACCUGGGAAUUGCAGUGGGUACUGGAUCACUAGAGUGUGGUAGAGGGAUGCGGAAUUUCUGGUGUAGCAGUGAAAUGCGUAGAGAUCAGAAGGAACAUCCGUGGCGAAGGCGGCAUCCUGGGCCAACACUGACACUGAGGCACGAAAGCGUGGGGAGCAAACAGGAUUAGAUACCCCUGUAGUCC
rnacentral:rRNA from 1 species